CAGCUGUGGGGCCACAGAAGGCGGGAUCGGAGAUGACCUCCACCAUGGCCUGGUCCCCUCUCCUCCUCGGCCUCCUCGCUCACUGCACAGGGUCCUGGGCCCAGUCUGUGCUGACACAGCCGUCCUCCGUGUCUGGGGCCCUGGGUCAGACGGUCACCAUCUCCUGCACCGGAAGCAGCUCCAACAUCGGGGGUGCUUAUUAUGGUGUGAGCUGGUACCAACAGCUCCCAGGAAAAGCCCCCACAACCAUCAUCUAUAGUAAUAACAAACGACCCUCAGGGGUCCCGGAUCGAUUCUCUGGCUCCAAGUCUGGCAGCUCAGCCACCCUGACCAUCACUGGGCUCCAGGCGGAGGACGAGGCUGAGUAUUACUGUGCAUCGGGGGACAGCAGUCUCAAAGGUCACACAGUGCUCCCGGCCUGUGGGGAAGUGAGACAAAAACCUGCUGUCCCUCAGCAACGGGUCUCCCUGUGCUGCUCCCCCUCCUUGGCCAAGGAUCCAUAUAUGCCACGGUUCCUGCACCUGCUAAGACAUGACCCUCUUGAGUCACCUGGAGCACUGGGAGGUGUCAGACGGGCUGGACGACUUGGUGUCUCGGCCCAGCAGGUGGCGCUGUGGGACUGGGCCUGUGAGGACGGGCUUCUGGUCCAGACCAACUAG